ACUACGGGCGGCAGCAGUGAGGAAUAUUGGUCAAUGGGCGCGAGCCUGAACCAGCCAAGUAGCGUGAAGGAUGACUGCCCUACGGGUUGUAAACUUCUUUUAUAAAGGAAUAAAGUGAGGCACGUUUGCCUUUUGUAUGUACUUUAUGAAUAAGGAUCGGCUAACUCCGUGCCAGCAGCCGCGGUAAUACGGGGGGUCCGAGCGUUAUCCGGUUUUAUUGGGUUUAAAGGGAGCGUAGAUGGGUUGGUAAGUCUGUUGUGAAAGUUUGCGGCUCAAACGUAAAAUUGCAAUUGAUACUGGCAGUCUUGAGUACAGGUGAGGUAGGCGGAAUUCGUGGUGUAGCGGUGAAAUGCUUAGAUAUCACGAAGAACUCCGAUUGCGAAGGCAGCUUACUAAACUGCCACUGACAUUGAUGCUCGAAAGUGUGGGUAUCAAACAGGAUUAGAUACCCUGGUAGUC
rnacentral:rRNA from 1 species